rnacentral:rRNA from 1 species
AUUGAACGCUGGCGGCAUGCCUUACACAUGCAAGUCGAACGGCAGCACGGGGCAACCUGGUGGCGAGUGGCGAACGGGUGAGUAAUGCAUCGGAACGUGCCAUUGAGUGGGGGAUAACGUAGCGAAAGUUGCGCUAAUACCGCAUAUUCUGUGAGCAGGAAAGCAGGGGGACCGCAAGGCCUUGCGCUCUUUGAGCGGCCGAUGUCAGAUUAGCUAGUUGGUGAGGUAACGGCUUACCAAGGCGACGAUCUGUAGCGGGUCUGAGAGGAUGAUCCGCCACACUGGAACUGAGACACGGUCCAGACUCCUACGGGAGGCAGCAGUGGGGAAUUUUGGACAAUGGGCGCAAGCCUGAUCCAGCCAUGCCGCGUGAGUGAAGAAGGCCUCGGGUUGUAAAGCUCUUUCAGCAGGGACGAAAAUGACGGUACCUGCAGAAGAAGCCCGGCUAACUACGUGCCAGCAGCCGCGGUAAU